rnacentral:lncRNA from 1 species
UACCAAACAUAGUUCAAACCAUCUUAUUAGAGAGGAAGGUGAAUUCUUCCCUCCCUUUAAAGAACCACAGAGGAAAUUACUGCAAGAAACAAGGGAAAUCUUACCAUAAUGGAUACAUGUAUCGGACAUAAUACAAACACAAGCAUUUGACAGAAUACAAAAUCUUAGUUCAUCUAUAACUGCAAAGCACUUCUCAACCUCUAAUCUCUCCAACAUGGUGUUUUCCAAACGAUGUGCAUGUUUCGACUUCAGAUUUUCAUCAUCUCUGCUACAAACGCUCUUGUUGGAAGAAAAUCAUGCCAUGUCUCUUAUCAAUUUAUGAACCUUCAUUUGCUUGGAUAAAACCUCCAAACUUGUAGAUGUCAGCAAUAUCUUGCAACCAUUAUGAUCUUCACCAAAGGGGAUACCAAUCUCUCCUAAAUUGAGUCGACCAUGAAGAUCAUACAUUACAAUCAGGACUGUUUGCAGCUCUUUCAUCUUAGCACAAAGAAGAUCAGCUCUUUCUGCAGUUAUCAUUCUUUUACUAUUACCAAAACGCGUGCAACCAGUUGAUACGGCUACAUACGUCUUAUCAUUAAAAUUGAGACCUAUUGCAUUGCCAAUUUCUGUUUGAAUCUUUGUAAUGUCUGGCUUCUUUGUCACAGUUGUUGUGACAAUCUUUUGGAACGAAUGAUCUUUCUCUGCUCUUCUUAUAGCUGUUUGUGCAGAAUGCUCGACUCUUUUUUUUGGCCCGCAUAAUCCGAUUAUAUUUUCUCCUUGGUCUCUCACACUUAGUGCACUCAUAAUUUGUUCUUUAACCUUAUUAUCAAUAUAAAUGUCCACCCCACUACUCCCACAUAUCAAAUCCCAUCCCCGCUGAAACGACAUAAUGGCACAAGAAGUUACAACACAAUUUUUUGAUGAAACGACAUAAUGAUUAUUUUUAUCUUCAAUGUCACAGAAACAAAACUUUGGAGGUGUGAGCGUGAGUUUUUUUAAAUAAAAAAUUUGGAGGUGUGGAACUAAGAUGUGUUUGUGUCUUCAGGAUUCGAAGUUGGUUAAACAAAAUUAACUCAUUCAAUCGUUUGAUAGGAAAAUGAUACACAAUAGAAUAUUUUUAAAGGAGUUGACUCAUUCAAAGUGAGAUACUCAUUUUAGAGUGUAAAAUCAAGAAUAUUAAUGGUUGAUCUUCUC